rnacentral:tRNA from 1 species
CCCCCUGUGGCGGAAUUGGCAUACGCGCCUGUCUCAAAAACAGGAUUCUGCGAGUUCGAGUCUCGCCUUGGGGA